rnacentral:rRNA from 1 species
UACGGGGGGGGGCAAGCGUUGUUCGGAAUUACUGGGCGUAAAGGGCUCGUAGGCGGCCAACUAAGUCGGAUGUGAAAUCCCCAGGCUUAACCUGGGAACUGCAUCCGAUACUGGAUGGCUUGAAUCCGGGAGAGGGAUGCAGAAUUCCAGGUGUAGCGGUGAAAUGCGUAGAUAUCUGGAGGAAUACCGGAGGCGAAGGCGGCCUUCUGGACCAUUCUUGACGCUGAGACGCGAAAGCGUGGGUAGCAAACAGG